AAAAAGACAAACCCUAAGUUUCCGUGUCUAAUUUUGACUGUCUGUCUUAUAUGAAUUUUUUUUAUAAUUCGUAUUUUCAUUGUUGUUAGAUGAUAAAACAUGAUUAAUAUUUUAUGUGUGACUUGUUUUUUUAUUUUUUUUUUUCAUAUUUUUUUUAAAUAAGACGGACGGUGACACGGAAACCAGGGUUUAUUUAUU
rfam:Oryza glumipatula chromosome 2, whole genome shotgun sequence.